UAGGAAGUGGUGUAGUGGAAGCACUAGGAGUUUUGAUCUCCUCAGUUAGGGUUCGAUCCCCUUCUUCCUAA
rnacentral:tRNA from 1 species